rnacentral:misc_RNA from 1 species
GAAUCUCCUGCCGGGACUAAAUCGUAUCUUAUGACCCACAGACCCUGGGACUCAAUCAAGUACUCUGAUCCUGGGUCUGGAAUCUGGUAUUUCUCAUCUGUGCAUUUUUGGGGAGAAAAAAUGGACGGAACAUGGAAACUGACAGCAAAAACCGACGACGAAUACUCCACUAAAGUGACACUAAAUUAUUGGAAAAUAUACUUUCACGGAUUUAAAAGAGCAGGGAACAGUAGCCCAGGUUUAAAGACUCCAGAAAUAAUACUCACAAUCUUGGGGGCCUUUGUUACUUUCAUCAUAACUGUACAUUGGUAACUAUACAUUGUACAUUCCUACUUGCUCAGAAAAGUCAGCAGUGGAUCUUUUUUAACCGUCAGUACCAAUUUGUGUAAACAAGCGAGGGUGUUGUUAUGUGUAAAGUAACAUUUGUAAAAAAAACUUUGAAGUGGUUAUUCCUAUUUCAAAUAAUUUUGUUUUCUGUACAUUGACAAAUCCGGAUCGAUGUGUAAAAAUCAUAUCAAAUAAGCUUUUAAUUUUAAACAUAAAAUAUCAACCUUGAGAGGCAAUAUCUAUUCAAUAUUCAUUUGUAAAACGCUGUCAACAAAUCAAACAAACGUAGUUACGCUAAACUACAGGUGCAUAUUUAUAGAAUGGUCAUUGUAUGUUCAAAUUUUAUAUUUAUUUCUAGAUAUUUUAAUUAUUAGUUAUGUAUAUCGCAUUUAAGUUAUUUUUUUUUAUUUUACAUUAUUUUUAUUCAUAAUGUUUUAACAACUCGUUGUGUAAUUUGUGCUGUUUAUGUUUGAAUGUUAAAUAGGUCUCAAAAGAUCGAACUUAUCAUGAUUUUCACUGUAUGAACUGUAGACUCAAAUUGUUUUAGCAGAUUAUGCUGUGAAUUUGAAUAAGUUGAACUCCAUAGACUGGGUGUGAACGUUUUUAUAUUGCUUCUUUUUUUGCUGUCCCAGAAACCUUUUUUUUAAUUCUCAAAAAAUGUUAAAACAAAACCUCUGAUUGAUUUGUAAUUGGUAUCGACAUGUAUGUAUUUAAUAAAACAUUAUCUAUUGUUGAUUAAAUAUAAUAACU